GAUGAAGAACGCAGCGAAAUGCGAUAAGUAAUGUGAAUUGCAGAAUUCAGUGAAUCAUCGAAUCUUUGAACGCACAUUGCGCCCGCCAGUAUUCUGGCGGGCAUGCCUGUUCGAGCGUCAUUUCAACCAUCAAGCCCCCGGGCUUGCGUUGGGGCCCUGCGGCUGCCGCAGGCCCCUAAAAGCAGUGGCGGGCUCGCUGUCACACCGAGCGCAGUGGCGAUAUUCGCUCCGGGCGUCGGCGGCGGGCACCGGCCGUGAAACCCCCCAUUUCUCAAGGUUGACCUCGGAUCAGGUAGGAAUACCCGCUGAACUUAAGCAUAUCAAUAAGCGGAGGA
rnacentral:misc_RNA from 1 species